ACUUAAAUUGAAGAGUUUGAUCAUGGCUCAGAUUGAACGCUGGCGGCAGGCCUAACACAUGCAAGUCGAGCGGUAGCACAGAGAGCUUGCUCUCGGGUGACGAGCGGCGGACGGGUGAGUAAUGUCUGGGAAACUGCCUGAUGGAGGGGGAUAACUACUGGAAACGGUAGCUAAUACCGCAUAAUGUCGCAAGACCAAAGUGGGGGACCUUCGGGCCUCAUGCCAUCAGAUGUGCCCAGAUGGGAUUAGCUAGUAGGUGGGGUAACGGCUCACCUAGGCGACGAUCCCUAGCUGGUCUGAGAGGAUGACCAGCCACACUGGAACUGAGACACGGUCCAGACUCCUACGGGAGGCAGCAGUGGGGAAUAUUGCACAAUGGGCGCAAGCCUGAUGCAGCCAUGCCGCGUGUGUGAAGAAGGCCUUCGGGUUGUAAAGCACUUUCAGCGGGGAGGAAGGCGGUGAGGUUAAUAACCUCAUCGAUUGACGUUACCCGCAGAAGAAGCACCGGCUAACUCCGUGCCAGCAGCCGCGGUAAUACGGAGGGUGCAAGCGUUAAUCGGAAUUACUGGGCGUAAAGCGCACGCAGGCGGUCUGUCAAGUCGGAUGUGAAAUCCCCGGGCUYAACCUGGGAACUGCAUUCGAAACUGGCAGGCUAGAGUCUUGUAGAGGGGGGUAGAAUUCCAGGUGUAGCGGUGAAAUGCGUAGAGAUCUGGAGGAAUACCGGUGGCGAAGG
rnacentral:rRNA from 1 species